rnacentral:rRNA from 1 species
GACGUAGGGCGCAAGCGUUGUCCGGAAUUAUUGGGCGUAAAGAGCUCGUAGGCGGCUUGUUGCGUCGACUGUGAAAAACCACGACUCAACCGUGGGACUGCAGUCGAUACGGGCAGGCUAGAGUUCGGUAGGGGAGACUGGAAUUCCUGGUGUAGCGGUGAAAUGCGCAGAUAUCAGGAGGAACACCGGUGGCGAAGGCGGGGCUCUGGGCCGAUACUGACGCUGAGGAGCGAAAGCGUGGGGAGCGAACAGG